UACAGAGGUCUCAAGCGUUGUUCGGAUUCAUUGGGCGUAAAGGGUGCGUAGGCGGCCCGGUAAGUCGGGUGUGAAAUCUUGGAGCUUAACUCCGAAACUGCAUUCGAUACUGCCGUGCUUGAGGACUGGAGAGGAGACUGGAAUUUACGGUGUAGCGGUGAAAUGCGCAGAUAUCAGGAAGAACACCCGUGGCUAAGGCGGCGCUCUGGCACGGUACUGACGCUGAGACGCGAAAGCGUGGGGAGCGAACAGG
rnacentral:rRNA from 1 species